rnacentral:lncRNA from 1 species
GUGAUAAAUACCAGUUCAUUUAUUUCAAAUAAAAUAAUCUCUUCAGGUAUUGAUUGGUGCUCUGACUAAUCCCCACUUCAUGAGUCCAUCUUGGGACCUGUUGGGAAGUUCCCCCAUAAUGCAGUUCUACUCCAUAGCUGAGCCAAUUUCUGUGUUAAUAUAACAGAUUUUCACCUCAGAGGUUUGCUGAGAAUUUUUUACAUUGUUGCAAGUUUAUACACACCUUUAAACUAAGACAAGCCCUACAGGCAUUCUCUAACAGAAACUGGAGUACUUGAUGGAGAAGAAGCUAUGGUCAAGAACCUUUGACAUUUCAAUUUCACUGUCUUUUUUUUUUUUUGCUUGUUUUCUUUUGCUGUGACUGAAGAAUUGCCCUUGGAGUCCUAGGAACAGAAGAACCAAAUUAUUCUCAUUCAGUAGGACACAGAAGCAGAAUAGCCCUUCUUGGAAGAAGAAAAAAUUCCAUGUUGAGAAGGCUGUUGGACUUUAGUGUCUCCAAUGAAAAAAAAAGCUGCUAAUAAUGCCAAUGUGCUGACAUAUAAAAGUUGGAUCCUACUAGUUACUUUCUUUAAGGAAUCCAAAACAAAGUUAAUCUGAUCAACAGGGAUCAAUAGAAAAUGUUGUCAUUAGGUCCACAAGCUGAAGGACAUCUCAGUACGUGGGACUGCACCCGUGUGAGCUGGCUACCUCUGGAAGAGACACCAGCCAAUUCUUCAGCCUCUAUCUACUUGGUGCCUUUACCUGAAAAGCUGGUAGUGGACUGGGCUGCAGAGGGCCCUUCUGUCAACUUUUGUGACUGAGGAAUGCUUAAGACGAUGUAGGAUGGGUCCACCACCCUGAGUCACAGAAUAAUGGGAUUUAUUGAAGCAGUUUAUCCUCACAUCACGUAAUACAUGUUAUGCUUGAAGAACGAGGAGGAUUCAAAACAGCAAAACAUAAAAAAGCACCUUACAUGUAACAGAAAUCUGCAGCAAGGAGAGCUACGCUUUAAAACCUAUCCUAUUUCUAUCUGGAGCAAGCAGAAAACAAGCACAUGUGGAAAGGAAUAGUUCAGUUAAUAAAACCACACAAAUUGAGAUAUUUGCA